rnacentral:rRNA from 1 species
UACGUAGGGUGCAAGCGUUGUCCGGAAUUAUUGGGCGUAAAGAGCUCGUAGGCGGCCUGUCGCGUCGGCUGUGAAAACCCGGGGCUCAACCCCGGGCCUGCAGUCGAUACGGGCAGGCUAGAGUCCGGUAGGGGAGACUGGAAUUCCUGGUGUAGCGGUGAAAUGCGCAGAUAUCAGGAGGAACACCGGUGGCGAAGGCGGGUCUCUGGGCCGGAACUGACGCUAAGGAGCGAAAGCGUGGGGAGCGAACAGGAUUAGAUACCCUGGUAGUCCACGCCGUAAACGUUGGGCGCUAGGUGUGGGGGACCUUCCACGGCCUCCGUGCCGCAGCUAACGCAUUAAGCGCCCCGCCUGGGGAGUACGGCCGCAAGGCUAAA